rnacentral:rRNA from 1 species
GGUUGACCUCGGAUCAGGUAGGAAGACCCGCUGAACUUAAGCAUAUCAAUAAGCGGAGGAAAAGAAACCAACAGGGAUUGCCCUAGUAACGGCGAGUGAAGCGGCAACAGCUCAAAUUUGAAAUCUGGCUUCGGCCCGAGUUGUAAUUUGCAGAGGAAGCUUUAGGCGCGGCACCAACUGAGUCCCCUGGAACGGGGCGCCACAGAGGGUGAGAGCCCCGUAUAGUUGGACGCCUAGCCUGUGUAAAGCUCCUUCGACGAGUCGAGUAGUUUGGGAAUGCUGCUCAAAAUGGGAGGUAAAUUUCUUCUAAAGCUAAAUACCGGCCAGAGACCGAUAGCGCACAAGUAGAGUGAUCGAAAGAUGAAAAGCACUUUGAAAAGAGGGUUAAAUAGCACGUGAAAUUGUUGAAAGGGAAGCGCUUGUGACCAGACUUGCGCCGGGCUGAUCAUCCGGUGUUCUCACCGGUGCACUCUGCCGGGCUCAGGCCAGCAUCGGUUCUCGCGGGGGGAUAAAGGCCCUGGGAACGUAGCUCCUCCGGGAGUGUUAUAGCCCAGGGCGUAAUGCCCUCGCGGGGACCGAGGUUCGCGCAUCUGCAAGGAUGCUGGCGUAAUGGUCAUCAGCGACCCGUCUUGAAACACGGACCAAGGAGUCAAGGUUUUGCGCGAGUGUUUGGGUGUAAAACCCGCACGCGUAAUGAAAGUGAACGUAGGUGAGAGCUUCGGCGCAUCAUCGACCGAUCCUGAUGUUUUCGGAUGGAUUUGAGUAGGAGCGUUAAGCCUUGGACCCGAAAGAUGGUGAACUAUGCUUGGAUAGGGUGAAGCCAGAGGAAACUCUGGUGGAGGCUCGCAGCGGUUCUGACGUGCAAAUCGAUCGUCAAAUCUGAGCAUGGGGGCGAAAGACUAAUCGAAC